CCUAUAGCUCAGCUGGAUAGAGUGGCAGACUUCGAAUCUGAAGGCCGGGGGUUCGAAUCCCUCUGGGC
rnacentral:tRNA from 1 species